rnacentral:rRNA from 1 species
AUUGAACGCUGGCGGCAUGCCUUACACAUGCAAGUCGAACGGCAGCGGACCUUCGGGNGCCGGCGAGUGGCGAACGGGUGAGUAAUAUAUCGGAACGUACCUUUCAGUGGGGGAUAACGUAGCGAAAGUUACGCUAAUACCGCAUAUUCUGUGAGCAGGAAAGCAGGGGAUCGCAAGACCUUGCGCUGAUUGAGCGGCCGAUAUCAGAUUAGCUAGUUGGUGAGGUAAAGGCUCACCAAGGCGACGAUCUGUAGCGGGUCUGAGAGGAUGAUCCGCCACACUGGAACUGAGACACGGUCCAGACUCCUACGGGAGGCAGCAGUGGGGAAUUUUGGACAAUGGGCGCAAGCCUGAUCCAGCCAUGCCGCGUGAGUGAAGAAGGCCUGG